rnacentral:rRNA from 1 species
UGAGGAAUAUUCCACAAUGGGCGAAAGCCUGAUGGAGCGACGCCGCGUGCGGGAUGAAGCCCUUUGGGGUGUAAACCGCUUUUCUUCGGGAUGAUACGUCAGGUUAGUAGCCUGACUAAGACAGUACCGAAGGAAUAAGCCUCGGCUAACUACGUGCCAGCAGCCGCGGUAAUACGUAGGAGGCGAGCGUUGUCCGGAUUUACUGGGCGUAAAGCGCGCGCAGGCGGCAGUGUAAGUAAGGUGUGAAAUCUCCCUGCUCAACGGGGAGGGUGCACUUUAGACUACACAGCUUGAGGUCGGUAGAGGGGGGUGGAAUUGCUGGUGUAGCGGUGAAAUGCGUAGAGAUCAGCAGGAACACCCGUGGCGAAGGCGGCCCCCUGGGCCGUACCUGACGCUGAGGCGCGAAGGCUAGGGGAGCGAACGGGAUUAGAUACCCCCGUAGUCC